rnacentral:rRNA from 1 species
GAUGAACGCUGGCGGCGUGCCUAAUACAUGCAAGUCGAGCGAGAAGCUUGGAAAUGACGCUUCGGUUGAUUUUCCAAGCGGACAGCGGCGGACGGGUGAGUAACGCGUAGGCAACCUGCCCCUGACAGAGGGAUAGCCAUUGGAAACGAUGAUUAAAACCUCAUGACACCGUAGUAGCACAUGCUACAUCGGUCAAAGAUUUAUCGGUCAGGGAUGGGCCUGCGUCUGAUUAACUGGUUGGUGAGGUAACGGCUCACCAAGGUGACGAUCAGUAGCCGACCUGAGAGGGUGAUCGGCCACAUUGGAACUGAGACACGGUCCAAACUUCUACGGAAGGCAGCAGUAGGGAAUCUUGCACAAUGGGCGAAAGCCUGAUGCAGCAACGCCGCGUGAAGGAUGAAGGGCCUUCGGGUUGUAAAACUUUCUGUUUCUAAAGGGAAAGAAAAGAAAUUGAACCGGUACCUU